rnacentral:rRNA from 1 species
AACGAACGCUGGCGGCAUGCCUAACACAUGCAAGUCGAACGAGACCUUCCGGUCUAGUGGCGCACGGGUGCGUAACGCGUGGGAACCUGCCCUUAGGUUCGGAAUAACUCCCCGAAAGGUGUGCUAAUACCGGGUAAUGUCCUCGGACCAAAGAUUUCUCGCCUUUGGGUGGGGCCGCGUUGGGUUAGCUUGUUGGUAGGGUAAAAGCCUGCCAAGGCGUCGAUCCAGAGCUGGUCGGUGAGGAUGAUCAGCCAGACUGGGAUUGAGACACGGCCCCGACUGCUACGGGCAGCAGCAGUGGGGACUAUAGGACAAGGGGCGAAAGCCUGCUCCAGCAAGGCCGGGUGGGUGGCGAACGGCUUAGGGUUCUAAAGCUGUAUGAGCCGGGAUGAUAGUGACAGUACCGGGAGAAGAAGCACCGGCUAACUCCGUG